rnacentral:ncRNA from 1 species
GACAAGGCUACGAUAAGGAAAGUAAAAAACGGAGCAUUACAGAGAGUGGGCAAACAGCUGAAAUUGCUUACAUGUUGAAGUUUUUGAAAAUGCACCUUGGAGCCGUGCAGAAUGAUUCUGCAACGGGGAAACCCGUUAUUCGUUUGAGUGAUGCAAAGGACUUUGCAUAAUCAGAGUGGAACCACGAGAAAUCGUCUCUGUU